rnacentral:tRNA from 1 species
GUGGAUGUAGCUCAGUCGGAUAGAGCACCAGGUUGUGGCCCUGGUGGUCGGGGGUUCAAGUCCCCUCAUCCACCCCA